CAGUAGCCGCGGGAAAACGGAGGGUGCAAGCGUUAAUCGGAAUUACUGGGCGUAAAGCGCACGCAGGCGGUCUGACAAGUCAGAUGUGAAAUCCCCGGGCUUAACCUGGGAACUGCAUUUGAAACUGUCAGGCUGGAGUCUUGUAGAGGGGGGUGGAAUUCCAGGUGUAGCGGUGAAAUGCGUAGAGAUCUGGAGGAAUACCGGUGGCGAAGGCGGCCCCCUGGACAAAGACUGACGCUCAGGUGCGAAAGCGUGGGGAGCAAACAGGAUUAGAUACCCCUGUAGUCCCUGUCUCUUAUCA
rnacentral:rRNA from 1 species